AAAACGACUCUCGGCAACGGAUAUCUAGGCUCUUGCAUCGAUGAAGAACGUAGCGAAAUGCGAUACUUGGUGUGAAUUGCAGAAUCCCGUGAACCAUCGAGUCUUUGAACGCAAGUUGCGCCCGAAGCCUUCUGGCCAAGGGCACGUCUGCCUGGG
rnacentral:rRNA from 2 species